rnacentral:lncRNA from 1 species
GUUCAUGUAUAAACCAAAGAAGAGCUUUGGUUUCAAGCUUUUUUUAUAUUCGUUGGGUGCCUGGCUGCCUGUUGCAAAAUUGAAAUUGAAAUAUUCUUAGUGAGAAAUAUUUCAAGUUUUGAUUUUCCUGUCAAUUUCGUUCCUUAGAUGUAACUUUUUUUUUUUUUUGUCAAAGGUGAAUUAAUAUAUCAUUUAAAAUCUAGGCUUUAGCCCAUUACAAUAAGAGAGGCUUGAAUGGAAAAAAAAGGCCCAAAAACAAGCAAGCCCAAACCCAUAACAUAACCCACAAAACCCUAACCCUAAAGGAAUCUUAACCCUAAAGGAAGAUUCUUGAGCAUGCAGAACAUUGGCGGAGCAACAGCAGCCAGCGGAGGCAAAACAGGAGUCUUUAGAAUCUACAUGAAGCAAACAACCAACUUUCUCUUAAAGGUCCAACCUCAAGGAAAAACGCAUGCAAACUCAAAAACAUCCGAUCGAACCACGAAAUCCAGAAGGAAAGAUCGAUAGUUACAGAGAAGGGAAGCCUCUUCAACAAUGCCCAAAGGGCUAACCAACUUACUGAAAAGCAAAAGGCUUUCUGCACACCUCUUAGAUCUUGCCAGAGCAACUGAGCUGGGGAGACAAAGAGAUCAAGCCAUUAUUCCGAUCGCAAGGACCAAAGCCAAGGAGAGAAGAAAAUCUAAUUGUCAAAAGAUCUGAAACACCUAUUAGCAUCAACCGCGAGAGUAUGGAGGUCAGAGCUCCAUUCACCAGUCGGCAGUUAAAGAGUCACCAUAAACGGCUAAGUCUGGCAUCGACUUCUGGAGGUAGCCGCUGCUAAACAAAGCCCUCUCUUCGAACUUCCUAUCUCCACUAGGAAACACAAGAACUGAAGAUUCAGACCAUGCAAGCUCAUUCCUGCAACAAAAGAGAAAGCAACCCAAUAACACAACAAAAAUAAGAAAUAAAACAGAAAAGAAAAUCCUUCCAUCCGGAGGAGAAGAAGACACCCUCAAAAAUUGGGCGAGAGGAAGAUGACCUUCCCUACUCGGAAGGGAAAGCCGCUUGUCGGCAGAAAAAAGACUCUCCUCAAAAGAAAAAUAGAAAAAAUGAAGAUAGCUUAAGAGGAAGGGAAUAUUCCUAAGUUUAUUUUUAUUGAAGUUUAGUUUAUAAUUAAAAUCUUUAAAUAAAAACCCAUAUUUCUUAGAAUUGAUUUCUGGUUAUGUUACUGAUUUGGCUUUUUUUUUUUUUGAAAAAAAAAAUAUUAUUUGUUGGUUACAAAUAAAAGUAACAGUGUCUACUUCCCAAUCUCCUCUCUUUGCUUCUUUUCCAUCCACCAAAUUCCCUCUCAACCAAAUCCAUGGAGAUACUAAUAAUCUUCCCCGACUUCUUCAAAAAGCAGUGUCUUUGGAGUUGACUCCUCUGCCAGUAAAGGCUCAAAAUGAUGGAAUCCAUUCAUGACCACCAAGGGAUUGUGGCAUUAUAGUGAGAUUUGAUCUCAGGAAACAUCAGUAGAACUUGUUGAAUCUUAGGUUGUUGCAUUUAGCAGAAUCUUGGAAUUUGUUAAAUUUAAACAGUAGCUGAAAACUGACAUAACAGAGAUUCCACCAAUAAUUUGUAGCCGACAGAGCCAAUACAUUGUCCGUAGACACAUUAACCCAUUAAGCACUGAACUGUUUUGCGCUUAGUUCUUGCAAUGGUUCGAUGUUAGCAAUAGUAUUUUUUUUGACGGUGUAAUUCUCUCUAUUCUAUUAGUUAAAAAAAUAUAUUAAAUAAUUAAAAAAAAUCUAUCAAUUAAUAUAAUAAAUAUUUUUAGUGUUAAACAGUCACUGGCUAACAUUUCUCAAUUAUAAGUGGAGAAUGAUCCAAAGCAGCAGAGCACCAUUAUGCUAUUUAACUAUUUCUGUCUUCGCCUUUGUAGGCUUUCGUGUUCACCAGUAACGCCCACUAAUAAGGUUGACAAAUGGCAAAUCCCCAACCCUCUUUUUAAAAGCAUUGGUUCCCCUUUUUCUUCUUGUCUUUCAAGCAUUUUCAUUAAUACUUUUUUCCCCUUAAUUAUUAUCUUUAUCUUUAAAAUAUGAAGAAAAGAAAGAGUUGGUGUGGCUCUAAUGCCUCAAAAUCCUUCCUUUUUCUCACCACCUUCGAAUUUGGAAAUGACAAGAUAUUCCAAGAAUUGUCAUGAUUCUCUAGCUACAUUUUUAAUGUUGAUCAUACUCGCUUUAUAAAAAUAUAUAUUCACAUGAAUUGAGGUGUAACAUUUUUAGUAGAAUUAAUUCUGCUUAUAACUCGAAUUACAUACUUUCAUAACUUCAAAAAAAAAAAAAAAACUCUAUUUAAAAAUCUAUUAGUUAAAAAAUAUAAUUAAUAUAGUUAAGCUAAUAAAUUUUAUUUUUAUUUUCUAAUUUACAUUUUAUUUAUAUUGUAAUACUAUUAAAUUAUUCUUAAAACUAAUAAAUUUUAUUUUUGCAUAUUUGAAAGUUAAUAAAUAAGUAUUCUUUUCCAGCUAGUGGACAAAACAUAAAUAAAUAUUUCUUUAUAAAUUUAUAAAUGUAUCCCUCAUACUAUAUUUAUAAAUUUACCAAAAUAAGGAUAUUAUAUGGUACAAUUCAUUAAUAACUUGUCAUCUUUGACAAGUAAAAGAAAAAGAAUGGCUAAAAAAAAAGUAAAAGAAAAAGAAGAACAAAAGUGAGCAUAAAUCUUUAAAUAGGUCAAUGGCAAUUUCGGUGGCUUUUCUUUGAGAUGGAUGAAAUUUAUAUAUAUAUAAUAUAUACAUAAAUUUAAAUUUACAAAUAAGUAAUACGAUUUCGUCCGCUAAUAUAUGACAAAUUAGAGCUUUAUUUAAUAAUAUUAAUUGUUUCUAUUAAUUAAUAAUUAUUUUAAUAAUUAUUAAUCAUUUUAAUAAUAAAAAAAUUCAAAAACUAAACACUAUUCUUAAAAUUAUUAUCCCACAUAUCUAUAUCUAAACUUUAAAUAUUUUUAAAUUAUAAUAAAUUGAGUCUAUUUAAUAGGACUCUAAAAAUAUUGAUAUUUUUAAGUUUAAAGAAAAGUAUCUUUAAAAAAAAAGUUUAAAGAAGAGCGGUGAUGGUUGCUUACAACACAAUUUACAGAUUUGACAGAAUCUGAAAGUAAGAGCAACUUGGAAAACUCUUUUCAAUCACAGCCACAACGACAAUUUCCACUCUGAUUUAUUCUAAACGUGUCAUCUGCUACCCAAUGCCUCAAAACCAGAGAACACCACCAUGGAUCAAAAUCAAAAUCCCACAUAAUUAACCCAGAAAGAAUUCCUUGUUGGAUUAUUAACAUCAAUAAAAAAAAAAAACCAUCAUCUAUUACAGCAACUUCUCUUUCUAGCCAUUUCUCAGAGUUCUCUCACUUUCACUUUCCAACGUUUUCCCAAAAAAAGGCCAAGAAUGUCACUCAAAACUUUGGCAUGUUAUGUUCGAUGAAUCUUAAAUAACAGAAAUAGAGGGUUGCUUUAAGGUGAUGAAAAGUUCUUGGCAAUUGAAGGGACUAAGAUGAGCUUUAAGAAGAAGGCAAUCCAAGAAGAAGUAAUAAUAACAGAGGAAGAAGAAGAUCAAGAUCCCAUGCAACAGAGGCCAUGGAUGACGUACCUGGCUCUGUGGGAACCAGUGCUAGCUUCUCUUUGAGAUUGGCCCAAACAAUCUUCUCUUGUGCUUCUCUUUUUUUCAUGUCUUUGGGUGUUCAAUUCUACAGCUACACUGCCUUCUGGUAAUCUUUCUUUUCUUUUCUGUAUAAUUCAUUUAAAAAUUGAAUUCCAUAACCAGAUUAUUUUCACAUGAGCUUAAUUGCAGAGAAUUUCCCAGAAGAUGAUGAUCAGGAAUUUGUUAGAUCAAUUAGUUUUUACCUUUUUAUCUCUUUCUGCACCCUUAGAAAGUGUAUGAUGAGAUGAAAAUGGAUUUGUUCUUCCCUUAUUUUCUGUUUGAGUCUUGUUUCCUCUUCUGGACAAGAACUAGUUCUGAAACCCAGAAGCUGUAAUUUAAGCAAGCUCCUUAGAAGGUGAACCAAUCACUGCUGAUUAGCCAUUAGAAGCUUGAAAUGUUUGUGUUGCAUUUUUUCUCCUUUUUUGGGGAUAAUUCUGCUUUAAUAUCCAAUCUUGGUGAAAAGUUCGCAAC